GAUGAACGCUGGCGGCGUGCCUAAUACAUGCAAGUCGAGCGAACGGACGAGAAGCUUGCUUCUCUGAUGUUAGCGGCGGACGGGUGAGUAACACGUGGAUAACCUACCUAUAAGACUGGGAUAACUUCGGGAAACCGUAGCUAAUACCGGAUAAUAUUUUGAACCGCAUGGUUCAAAAGUGAAAGACGGUCUUGCUGUCACUUAUAGAUGGAUCCGCGCUGCAUUAGCUAGUUGGUAAGGUAACGGCUUACCAAGGCAACGAUGCAUAGCCGACCUGAGAGGGUGAUCGGCCACACUGGAACUGAGACACGGUCCAGACUCCUAAGGGAGGCAGCAGUAGGGAAUAUUCCGCAAUGGGCGAAAGCCUGACGGAGCAACGCCGCGUGAGUGAUGAAGGUCUUCGGAUCGUAAAACUCUGUUAUUAGGGAAGAAAAUAAGUGGAAGUAACUGUGCACAUCUUGACGGUACCUAAUCAGAAAGCCACGGCUAACUACGUG
rnacentral:rRNA from 1 species